rnacentral:lncRNA from 12 species
AUUAUUUUAACUCUUUCAAGCUGGGUCCGGUGAAACCAAUUACACUGUUUUUGAGGGUCGUGGACUUAGGCAACUUGUUCCUGUUCUUUACUGCCCAUGAUGUAGCCAAAGCCGGUCCCAAAUAACCAUUAUUAAUCAGUUACAAGGG